UCGAAUGAUUUGUUGCUUAAGCC
rnacentral:siRNA from 1 species